ensembl:rRNA 5S_rRNA 5S ribosomal RNA
GUGUAUGGCCAUGCCACUCUGAACAUGCCCAAUCUCGUCUGAUCUCAGAAGCUAAGCAGGGUCGGGCCUGGUUAGUACUUGGAUAGGAGACUACCUAGGGAUACCAGGUUCUGUAGGCA